rnacentral:rRNA from 1 species
ACCAGACUCCUACGGGAGGCAGCAGUGGGGAAUAUUGCACAAUGGGGGAAACCCUGAUGCAGCGACGCCGCGUGAGUGAAGAAGUAUUUCGGUAUGUAAAGCUCUAUCAGCAGGGAAGAAGAAGGACGGUACCUGAGUAAGAAGCCCCGGCUAACUACGUGCCAGCAGCCGCGGUAAUACGUAGGGGGCAAGCGUUAUCCGGAUUUACUGGGUGUAAAGGGAGCGUAGACGGCGAAGAAAGUCUGAAGUGAAAGCCCGCGGCUCAACCGCGGGACUGCAUUGGGAACUACCGGGCUGGAGUGCCGGAGGGGUAGGCGGAAUUCCUAGUGUAGCGGUGAAAUGCGUAGAUAUUAGGAGGAACACCAGUGGCGAAGGCGGCCUACUGGACGGUGACUGACGCUGAGGCUCGAAAGCGUGGGGAGCAAACAGGAUUAGAUACCCUUGUAA